ensembl:lncRNA
GGAGCCCCCAGCCCGUCUGUGUGGAUGGCAUCGUGCAGAGUUUGGGCACCUUUGGAGAUGCAGCCUGCGUGCUGGUGAUCUUGGAACAAACACACGCCGUUAUCAGCAAAUGGAAAACACCUGACUCAAAACCAAACAACAACAACAAAAAAGGGAAAUGUACUCACAGGUCUCCGGGCAAAUCUGGAUUGUGGAUUGAAAGCAAGAGGAACGAUGGGGAUGGAUGUUGUUCUGGAGCGGCUGCACGGCUGAGGUUGAUCCCAAGGGACAAAGCGAUG